CGUCACCGUGCAUAAGAGGUCUCAAGAGUGGAUAGAGGAGCAGCAGAUGGGAGCGUUCCUCAGUGUUUCUAAAGGUGAUAGAUGGGAGCGUUCCUCGGUGUUUCUAAAGGUGAUAGAUGGGAGGGUUCCUCGGUGUUUCUAAAGGUGAUAGAUGGGAGGGUUCCUCAGUGUUUCUAAAGGUGAUAGAUGGGAGGGUUCCUCGGUGUUUCUAAAGGUGAUAGAUGGGAGGGUUCCUCAGUGUUUCUAAAGGUGAUAGAUGGGAGGGUUCCUCAGUGUUUCUAAAGGUGAUAGAUGG